rnacentral:rRNA from 1 species
UACGAAGGGGGCUAGCGUUGCUCGGAUUGACUAGGCGUAAAGGGCGCGUAGGCGGUUCGUACAGUCAGACGUGAAAUUCCUGGGCUCAACCUGGGGGCUGCGUUUGAUACGUGCGGACUUGAGUGCGGAAGAGGGUCGUGGAAUUCCCAGUGUAGAGGUGAAAUUCGUAGAUAUUGGGAAGAACACCGGUGGCGAAGGCGGCGACCUGGUCCGAUACUGACGCUGAGGCGCGAAAGCGUGGGGAGCAAACAGG